rnacentral:misc_RNA from 1 species
GAUGAAGAACGCAGCGAAAUGCGAUAAGUAAUGUGAAUUGCAGAAUUCCGUGAAUCAUCGAAUCUUUGAACGCACAUUGCGCCCCCUGGCAUUCCGGGGGGCAUGCCUGUCCGAGCGUCAUUUCUGCCCUCAAGCACGGCUUGUGUGUUGGGUGUGGUCCCCCCGGGGACCUGCCCGAAAGGCAGCGGCGACGUCCGUCUGGUCCUCGAGCGUAUGGGGCUCUGUCACUCGCUCGGGAAGGACCUGCGGGGGUUGGUCACCACUAUAUUUUACCACGGUUGACCUCGGAUCAGGUAGGAGUUACCCGCUGAACUUAAGCAUAUCAAUAAGGCGGAGGA